GAUGAAGAACGCAGCGAAAUGCGAUAAGUAGUGUGAAUUGCAGAAUUCAGUGAAUCAUCGAAUCUUUGAACGCACAUUGCGCCCCUUGGUAUCCCGAGGGGCAUGCCUGUUCGAGCGUCAUUUCACCACUCAAGCCUGGCUUGGUGUUGGGCGACGUCCCCUUUGGGGACGCGCCUCGAAACGCUCGGCGGCGUGGCACCGGCUUUAAGCGUAGCAGAAUCUUUCGCUUUGGAAGUCGGGGCCCCGUCUGCCGGAAGACCUACUCGCAAGGUUGACCUCGGAUCAGGCAGGGAUACCCGCUGAAUUUAAGCAUAUCAAUAAGCGGAGGA
rnacentral:misc_RNA from 1 species